rnacentral:lncRNA from 1 species
AAAAAAUAAAAAAAAAACUACAAAGUUAAAUAUAAAUAAAUUAUAAUUUUUUAUUUAUUUUGUAGACUGGUUUUAUUAUAAGUUAUUAUUUUAGUUUUAAAAAAUAGUUACUUUAUGAUAAUUAUUUUAGUUUAAAAAUAAAACAAUAACAAUAUACAUUAAAAAAAAAUUCUUGGGCAACACUGCAAAUGUUAUUAUCUAACUAUAUAAUUAGAGGUUCC